GACAUUUUGCAAAGCAUUUGAGAGGUAAGCAAAGACUGCUUACAAAAGUUUUUUUCAACACUUUGUGCUUUGUGACUAGUUGAUAUGUAGUAAUUUGUAUGUAAAUUUAACUUUAUGCAUGUAACAGGGUAAAAGUUCCUCUUAUAAUAAUAAGGCUCUUGAAAGAAGGAAAUAUUACCGCAAUAGAGACCAACAGAGGACAAGAAUUGCACAGACACACGGAAGAGGAUCACCAGCCUUGUAUACAACAGAAAUGCUUCUGAAAUAUUCCCUUAAUUAUUCUCGCUAAAGACUUCUACUGGUCCCUUAUAUGAGGAUGACUGGAAAAUGUGUUAGAACUCCCUUGGAGAUUGCAGUAUGUACUUAUGCUGAAGUUAAUGAAUUCCAGGCUCUCAACCACUCUACUAAUCCUUCCUUCAUAAUGCCCAGAAGUACAGAAUCUAAUGAAAUUGAUAUUUGAACUAGGCUGCUUCUAUGUGUCUAUUAUGGUAGGAUUUUGAGACCCAGAAUAGGAAAAGCCACGUAUGUGGAACUCAAAUAGAAUUUUGUUUGAACAAAGUUUAUUUCUGACUGUCUAUAUUACAUGGUACAGUUGUUUCGUCACUUUCAGAGCUGUUUUAUUAUUCACUCUUGAUUCUUACUAAAAUACAAUACUAGCCAGAUCCAUUUGUGGGUUCACAAUAAACUUGUUUUUUUAUUGCAAAUUUGAAGUUGUGACUACCCCCUUUUCUACUUGAGUUUUUAUAGCUACUAUUACCCAAAUAAUUCAACUAUACCUCAGCUUUUCUUAAUUUGCUUGGACAGUAUAAGAAGACAACUGAGGUCUGAGUAAUACAAGUUAACAAAUAGUACUUGUUAACUACACAGCUGGAUGUCUCUAGAUACUGUUGAUUAUAUAAAAUUAUGGAAGUAUAAAGUGGUGGAGAUCUUAGAACAAAAGCUUGUGCAACUUCUCACUAAAUGAAGGAAUCCUCUUGUAGGAUCUCCACUUGACCUCCUCCCUUCUGUCUGGAUAGUUUCUGGGACACUGAUGUCCCAUGAUGAGAUGGUUUUACUAGGGCGGGCUCUUUGUGUGUUCACCUAAGGUACUUUCUGUACUUUCUCACUGUGGUCUUUGGUUAGUGUCUUGCAAACUCAGAAUGAGCUUUUCAUAAAAUAAGCCAUCACAUAUUUAUAGAUAAUUAGUGAAAUUAUUAUUUUCUCCUUUAGGCUAAAUGCUCAUGAGCCAACACAUUUUGGGUGUCUAAAAAUUCAUUUGACCUUUUAAGAAUAAAGUUCAGCUUGUCAAUGUCCCUCUUCCAGUGGGUAUAUUGAUACUCUUUUCCACAGGUUAUCUGACUUGGAAAUUUUAGUAUGAUAAUCCCUUCCACCAAUACCUGGAUUCAGAUACUGUAUCAGCUCAUGUAACCGGAUAGUACAUUUUAGCAUUGUUGACAGCUUUAUCAUAUACUGUGGUCAACUGAACUGUCUGGUCUUUUUUCAGAUCAAAUAUUUCCACAAAAGGACUAUUGUAUCCUGCAAUUAAAAAAUUAAAAGCAUGAUUUUAUAUUUAUGUAUGAUAAAUUGCAUCUCUUGAUUUCAUCAUAGCAUUCAUUCCAUUAAUUGGAGAUCUUUUUAAAUCCAGAUGUAAUGUAUUUGCUAUAUCCCUCCAGCAAAGUGUCAUCUACACACUUGAUGAGGCUGUCUCCAUGUCUUCCUUCAACUCACUGGUCAACAGCACAUGGUCUUGGCUUCCCUCUAGAUUAUUAAUCUAUCGAUACGUACCCAUUAGUUUGGUUACUGCAAAAAAUUUAUGUCACCAUUGACACUUUUCCAAACAUGUCAAAAGAGUUUGUAUCAUUACCUUCUUUAAUUUAAAUUAUGAUGUAUCUAUGUCAGUUUUCUAUCCACUGUCUAAUAUCUUUGUUAAAGAAAGUUAAUGGGGUUAUUUUAUCAUGACUUUUCUUUUGGGAUAUAUGCUGGCAUCACAAAUUUUUUCAAGAACCAAUACUGAAAACAUGUAUAUCAAACUUACUGAACUCUGGUUCACAGAAUCUGUCCUUUCUGUUCUUAGAUAACCAGGAAAAUGUUUGCUUAGUUUGGAGUUUUGGCAUUCCUCCCAUCUUUAGUUUUCAAAGAUUCCAGAUGUUGGUUCUAUAGUGAACAUCUGUGCCUUGUUUCAGUUCUCUGGGAGGCAAUUCAGAUCUCUUUAAUGUCUGGCUUUAAUAGAAGACAGCUGAUUCCCUUACAGCUGCUCUGCAUCCAAUCUUUUGUAACAUGUUGUUUUGGUGGAAGGAAAUGAAGAUUCCAGCCUCACACUGAUAUCUAAUUUGAUAACAGAAGAAUCUUUUAGUAACAUUUUCAGGUAGUUGUGAGUAGUCUCUUUUGAUAUUAUACAAAAAUUCAAGUGAUCGUUUCUUAAAGUUCAGUUGCGAUGUGAGAUCUGAAAGCUUGUUAAUGAAGUUUAUCUACUCUGUACAUUACAAUCUGCUGGUCUCUUGUACUUUUACCCAUCCUUGGUUUUGUAACAUGAUAUAUUAUUCACUUGGAAACUCUUGAUUUGUUGAGUUAAUACAGUCCUCCUAAAUGUAGACAUAUUUUAUUAUAUGUUAUUAAAAACAGUUUUCAUUAAAAUAGCCAUUGAGCUCAUUUAAAAAGUCUUUAAGUAUUGAGAAGUAAUCAGACUCACAGUGGCAAAUAGCAGUUUUCCAAAAUUCUAAUUUUUGCUUGAAAACUUGCAUUUUAUUAUUGGCAAUAAGCCUGUCAAUUGUUUUUCUUGAAGUAACUGGCUUUUUUCAUUUUGAAGGCAUUAUCAGCCAAAUGGACAAAUCUGCACAGUGAUAGUUUAUCUGCAUUCUUUGAAGUAAAAAUCGUGUUCCUGAAAAAAAGCCCUGGUUCUGUUUGCAACUCAAAAUAUUGCACAUAUCCUAUUACUUGAGAAAACCAUCGUACUUUGUUAUACAGCAGAAAUGCUUUACGUGGGCCACAUUACAUCACAUAGAAUGUUUAAAAGAUGUAGACUAAUGGACCAAGAUUUAAUAAAAUUGAUAAUUUUUACUGUUUCAUGAAGGAAAUUCUAAAUUGAAACCUUUUUUUUUUUUUUUUAGAUUGAGAGUGUAUAGAGAAGUUGUUGGGUGCCAUGGCCUUAUGUAGGGCUAAGGCACAAAUAGCUUUGCUCACCUUUGCUUUUGCACCAACAGUGCAAAUGUGAACACAAAGAAGUAAAGAACACUUUAGUAUAAUAAUAAAAACACUGUUGAUCUUUCUAACUCCUGAAAAGUUCUCUAGGACCCCUAUGGGUCCAUAGAAUACAUUUUCAAGACUGCUGCCCUAGAGCAAUAUUUUGAUUUCACUCACAAUUCAGAAACUCUUAGAGGUAAAAUACUAAUUCAUAUCUGUUGGUUUUAAAAGCACAUGCUUUUUUUUUCUAUUUUCAAUAAUCAGUUUAACCAAUAUGAAUUUUUUUAUUUUUAGUAAGAGUGUUACUUAAUGCCAUAUCUCAUGGCUCAAAUGGUAGUAAAUGACCAAAACAGCAUAGGAGAAAGUAGCAAAUGUACGUUUAGUCUCAUCAUAAGGAAAGAAUAGUGCUAGAAAAAUAAAUGGUCUUUUUCUAUAUCAUCUGUUGUAAGGACACUUUGCAUGGAAAAUUGGAAAGAUUUUUAUGUAUGUUUAUUCUCAUCAUGUUUGCCAUUUUACCAUUUAGCUACUCCACUUGUAAAUUUUUAUUACUAAAAUUGUCUAAUCUCAUUAAAAUGAGUUUAUACCAGUAAA